ensembl:snoRNA
AGUGGUGACUCCAGUGACUCUGGUGUCUCAUUGAUGCCAUCACGCCAGCACACUGACU